UUUUUUUUUUUUUUUUUUUAAGUGUGAAAUCAAAAACAUGAGAACUGGUAUGAUAAUGACUUCUUUUGUUCAUGUGCAAAAUCAACGCAAACAUGACAUUAAGGCUGGGGCUGCACCUUCAGGGAGCCAAGAGGUGAAAGGCACCUUUUGAGGUAAAUCAAUGGACUUGCUUUGCCGUAGAAUGAAGUUGGGAUCCUUCAGCAUAGAACCUUUGCCCAGUGAAGCCUGGCAGUGUGUCAGAAGCCUGAGAGCCACGGCUGACCCAGACCGAACACAGUUCCUUCUGGCCUGUGGUGGCUGAGCGGUGCCUGCAGUGCAGAUGGUAUGGAACACUGCCUUGUUGUCAUUGCCUCCAGGUUUAACUAACACAAAACCUCUUCCCAGUGCUUUUGUUUAAAAUAUGCAGGAGAUGUCACAGCAAACUGUGGUGUCUCAGGCUAGGAGAGUGCCCGGCGUCUCCUUGUAGCAGGCUUGCAAUCAGGUAUAAAUUGAAAUACAGCCAUGUAGGCGUGGUAAAAGCGCUCUUGUCUCUACAGUUUGCAAACUGUGUGCACUUAUGUUUUAAUACUAGCAGAAAUCAGGCAGUGAUUUUAUUAUUUAAUUGUUCGAGGUUCCAAGUACUGUAAAUACAGUCUUUGUACUAUGCACGUACAGUACACAGAAUGCUUUCCCUUGGAGCCUCUCAAGGAGUGUUGCAUGUACAUAAUAUCAAUCUCAAUUGCUUCAACAUAAACCAAGGAAAAGAAACAGGGCUUAAGGCCAGGUUAAAUAAUGAAUGGAAUCAGACCCUCAGACCUGAGCAGCAAGGAGUUCCCAACCGUAGUAAUCGAGGUCAGCUUUGACAGUUUUGUAUAAAACUCUGUCCAAACGAUCUAGAUUAGGUCUGUGCUCUUUCCUGGGGAGGAGCAAUUACUUCGUGUCUUUUUCAAGCCCAUUGCUCUUAACUCUGGGAACUCUGUGUUGCGUUCGUGAUGUGCCAGCCUUAUCAUGAUUCAGCUAUGAAACAGUUUUUCAAAACUGUACAACUCUUGCAUUCCUAUUGGAAUCAGUCUAGAGCUUUAUUUUGCAUUCAAUUUUAAGAAAUAAGAUACUGUUACGAACUUCUUGUAAUGUCUCAAAAUUAACUUUUGCAUGGCAGAGAGGCAAUGUUCUCCUUGGAAGGCUUUGUUCCUCCUCACUGAUUCUUGUGACUGAUGUGUUCGUGUGGAAAAAGUUGAAUGAGAUGUUGAAAACAUUGGUGCAGUUCAUCUGUAUUUCUGACAUUCAGUAUGCUUUGUGUUACACAAUUCUGUGUUAAAACAUAAUGCCUUUCAGAUAAGGGAACAUCUGGUAGGACAGUCCAAACUAUCAUGCCCAAAGGGUAUGAGUAGCUAAUUGAUCACAACUUCACUAUUGUAUAAUUUGCCCUCCCCUUUUAUAUUCUGCUUCCUAGACAAGUCUGAAAGCUCUUUGUUCUCAUUUGGGCAGGAUAACUUUUUAAGCUUCUGCUAGGUUUUCCUUCUCUGUUCAGUUCGCAUACAGAGUAGCUUGUUUCUACAAACAAGAUUUGAAAUAGCACAGAUGUCACACUCCAUUUAUAGAAGUUCAUUUACUCAUUAAUUGAGAGUGUCUCUUCAAUUAUAACUAUAGCUAUUCAUAUAAAAUGAAGAAAAAAUCAGGACAGGUAAUGUGACUCUUUCUAAGAACCUGGCAAACCAAGAUUUGUUAAAACUGAAGCAAUGUGUUUGCACCUUCACUAUACAUCUCAAAGAAGGGUAGUUGGCUCUCACCAUUGCUUAAAUAAACAUUAGUAAGGAAUGAAGCAAGCCUCGCUGAUUUUUGCUGGUUAAGAAUUCGACUUCUUGGUGUAGUGGAACCAACCUUUUUUUUCAGAGCUUGUGUUUCAGUUUCUUAUGGUCUUCUAUAUAUUUAUACUCUUCUAGCAAAGAUUGAUUUAGGAUUUCAAAGAACAGUAUAGUAAGGCGUAUCUGAAAUUAUGUAAAGCUGAAAAGCCUUCUUAGGUUUCUCUGUAUUUGAUCGUUUUCAUGCAAAACUUCUAUUACGUGUGAAAGAAAUGAAUUUGUCUUUUCCCAUUGCCUUCCCCAGUCAUAGUUCCAAGGUGUGGUUGGUUGGAGUCACUUUUGCCUGCAAUGAAAAUUUUGGUCGUUUUUAAGCUGACUGCCAUAUAUUUCAAUCUGUUGUUCAAAGGAAAUGAGCAUUCAGUAAUGUUAGAGGAUAAUGAGUGUGUUUUGUUGUGAAAAGUGUGAGUUCUUGGGAACCUUUUCUACAUGCAGUUUUCAUUCUAAUUCAAUUUAAAUGUCAUUUUUAAUCUGAUCCAUACUUUGACAAAGAUGAUGUGUAAGAGCUGUUUUUAGCAGUUGGGUUGUUCCUUUGUAAAGUAUUAAAGCACUAAACCAAUUUUUGCAAUAGGUAGUAAAACUUGCUUAUGUUUUGAAAAACUUCCAGUUAUAACUGUCGCACUUUUUAUAGCAGAACUGUAUUUAAUUUCUUUCUUUUAUGAAAGAUUACUCCAAGUAACUGAUAGCUCUGUAAUCUGUGUGAAUUGACUUCUCCAUUAUUUGAAACAGAGAGAAGCUAUAAUGCCUAUUCAAUAAAAUUAACUUAUUUC
rnacentral:lncRNA from 1 species